rnacentral:rRNA from 1 species
UACGUAGGGAGCGAGCGUUAUCCGGAAUUAUUGGGCGUAAAGCGUGCGUAGGCGGCGUGUUAAGUCGAAUGUGAAAUCCCACAGCUCAACUGUGGAGGGUCAUUCGAAACUGGCAUGCUAGAGUACGGCAGAGGUUAGUGGAAUUCAAUGUGUAGCGGUAAAAUGCGUAGAUAUAUUGAGGAACACCAGUGGCGAAGGCGGCUAACUGGACCGGAACUGACGCUGAGGCACGAAAGCGUGGGGAGCAAACAGG